rnacentral:lncRNA from 1 species
CUCGGGCGCCGCCGCCCACCGCACGGGCCGUUACCGACCCCGCGCCGCCCGCGGCCCGCGCGCCCCUUCCCGGACAGUUCCUCUCGGCGCCCCCGAGUCCUCCCCGCGCGCCGCUUCCCGGGUGGGCCCUUCCACCAGAACCCCCUGGUAGAUCCUCCCCUGGUGCCCUGGGGGUAGAGGGGAGAUCCUCCACAAGGGCCAUUUCCCUGGUGAUCCCUCCCUGUGCCCCACAGGAUGCCUUCCCGUGUGUGCUUGUGCACAGGUCUAAGGAGAGGAGAGUCCAGUGAGUGACCCAGACGCCCCAGCCAGGAAGAGCAUGAGGAAAGCAAAGCUGCAGCCUGAGAUCUCCUUCCACCAACUCCUGGCAUGGCCAGAAAGUUAGCCAGAAACACCAGAAAGUGCCAGGCAGCUAGGAAGCAUGGGGAGAGCCCCCUGAAGCUGCGUGUGUAGUGCCUGCUUCCGCUGCCAUCCCAGAAAUGGACGAGCUUCACCCUGAGAACCCAGCCACACCACUGGGACACAUCCUGACAGUGACAUGCACACUCUUCCCUGGCCCCAGCCUGGAGAGGAGCCUCCUGAAGACACCAGCCUUUGCUCCUUCUCCCAGUGGGAGUGGAGAGAACUGACUGCUGGAGUGGAGACAGUCAAGGCUGUCCUUCUGAGGGAGCACAGCACAGGGUCUGGUGUCCCAGGGAGGCAAUCUGAAAUUCAAGCCAGGCCUCCCCAGCGGAGAGGACACACCCCUCACCAUGCAGAGUGACGUUUAGUAAACUCUCAAAAGAGAGCACAGAGCCCCACUCCUCCAGCCGACCCAUACUCUGCCUCCCCACUCCAGACCAGUGAACAAGGUGGAUUGCCCUUAAGCCAGCUCAGAGGCAAAGUCCAAAGACCUCAGGUGAGUCAAACAAUAAAAACAAAGAAUUAAGAAGAAUCCAGCUGGGUGCGGUGGCUCACGCCUGUAAUCCCAGCACUUUGGGAGGCUGAGGCGGGAGGAUCACGAGCAGGAGGUCGAGACCAUCCUGGCUAACACGGUGAAACCCCGUCUCUACUAAAAAUAGAAAAAAUUAGCUGGGCGUGGUGGCGGGCGCCUGUAGUCCCAGCUACUCCGGAGGCUGAGGCAGAAGAAUGGCGUGAACCCAGGAAGCGGAGCUUGCAGUGAGCCGAGAUCAUGCCACUGCACUCCAGCCUGGGCGACAGAGCGAGACUCCGUCUCCAAAAAAAAAAAAAAAAAAAAAAUCCAUCCACUCCAUCCACUUAGUAGCAGAGCGAAUAGACAUUCAGGAAAGAGCUUUCACGUCAGAAAGCACUACAGAAGUAGUGGCAUAUCCCCGGAGGCUGAGGUGGGAGCAUUGCUGAGAGGUGGCACGUGACCACAUCCAUGUCAUUCAACAACAGAAAAACAAGUCAUCGAGGGUGUGAGGGGCCGGUGAGAAACCCAGUAUGGAAGAAAACACAACUGGGCUGAGCGUGGUGGCUCACGCCUGUAAUCCCAGCACUUUGGGAGGCCAAGGCAGGAGGAUCACCUGAGGUCAGGAGUUCGAGACCAGCCUGGUCAACAUAGUGAAACCUCAUCUCUACUAAAAAUACAAAAAAAUUAACUGGGUGUGGUAGCGCGUGCCUGUAGUCCCAGCUACUCCGGAGGCUGAGGCAGGAGAAUUGCAUGAACCCAGGAGCCGAGACCACACCACUGCACUCCAGCCUGGGGGCGGCACAGUGAGACUCCGUCUCAAAGAAACAAAAAUAAAAAAUAAAUAAAUAAAUAAAUAAAUAAAUAAGAAAACGCAACCAAAGAAACAGAAGAGGACUCCACAGGACUUCUUUCAGAGCUUCAUAGCAGCAUGAAUUCAACAAUCAGGAAUUCAAAUGCUUGACGACAAAACAGCAGGAUGGGAGGAAGAGUUAAGAGCCAAGCAAACCGGAAGCACCAAAAUCGCACCGUGGCUGGAUCAAGUCAUAAACAGCAAAGGGCAGAAUAUCAAGUUACUUGGAGAUGAAAGGCUUGAGAUAAUUUCAGAGCAAGACAAAGUGAUUAACACAAUAAUUUACUCAUUGAUUAUUUGUUAAACAUCUACUUCAAGCUACAGGCCACUCUAGGCCUUGGAGGGUAAGGAAACAGCACCUUUGCCCUCAGAGGGUUUGCAAUCUAGCAGGGAGGGGAACAUAAUAAAGUGUAUAAAACCAGGGCUCUGGCUCUGAAGUUCCAGCACUUUGGGCAGGUCACUUGAACCCAGGAGUUUGAGACCAGCCUGGGCAACAUAGUGAAAACCCAUCUCUACUGAAAAAUAUAAAAAUUAGCGGGGCGUGGUGGUGCAUGCCUGUAGUCCCUGCUACUUGAGAGGCUGAGGCAGGAGGAUAGCUUAGGCCUGAGAGGCAUAGUUCGCAGUGAGCCGAGAUAGCACCUCUGCACUGCGGCGUGGGUGGCAGAGCAAGACCCUGUCUAACAACAACAACAAAAACUGAUCUUAAGUCCAGCCAGUAAAGAUGUAAAUCAAAACAAAGACUUUCAGUGGGUCAAAUACUGGCGGUGAGCCUUGAUCUUCUGGUAAGAAAUGCCCUGCCAGGGGAUAUGGAAAUGUCAGUGCCAGUUCCUCACCAUUCACAGGCAGAAGUCAGCCGGUGCCGCCUCAGCCGAACCGUGCUUUGCUGCUGUAAACCAAACACACUCAUCUCUUGAUGUUUUUGUAAUUUCUAAAAAUAAUCGUAGAAGACUUUUUUUUUUUUUUUUUUGGAGACAGGGUCUCACUCUGUCACCCAGGCUCAAGUGCAGUGGGCCUAUCUCGGCUCACUGCAGCCUCGACUUCCUGAGCUCAAGCGAUCCUCCCACCUCAGCCUCCCAAGUAGCUGGGACUACAGGAGAGCACCACCACGCCCGGCUGAUUUUUGUAUCUUCAGUAUGGAUGGAGCUUCCCUUUGUUGCCCAGGCUGUUCUCCAACUCCUGAGCUCAAGCGAUCUGCCUGCCUUGGCUUCCCAAAGUGCCGGGAUUACAGGCCUGAGCCACGGCGCCCGGCCAUCGUAAGGAGACUUUUAAACUUGAGGUGAAGAAGCAUUCAUCUGCUUUUAGCAAUUUUUUUCUUUAAAUAUUUAAAAGUCUAUAAGUAGCAACUCGACACGUAUUUCUGUAUUUCCAUUACAUCCUUUUAUCUCCCCAUAUACAUUUAGAAAUAUCUGGGAUAACCUUUAGGUAAUGUUAACAGCUGUUAUUCCAGGGAGGACACUGGGCGCGUUUUUAAAGCUGUAUUCGUUGCUGUAUUAAUAGCAAGCGGUGUUUCUGCAAAGCCAAGGAAGGCGUUUCUCCAGCGGGGCCGCGUCGGGCAUUGUCUGGUGCGCCGGGGAAGGCCGCGAACUACAUCUCCCAGGCGCCCCGCGCCCCGUUCCGCGCCCCGCGCCCCCGCCCGCGCGGCUCCUGCUGUGGUGCCGGAGCGUCCUCGGCUCGGUCCGGAGCCAGCCGGAGUCACAAUUCGAAUCGGGCGUGGGAAGCCCGGGGGACCACGCGGCCAACCCUGGGCGGACCUGCGCGCCGGAGACCGCGUCCCCGGGAGCCCCCAAACGCUACCCCGCGCGGCCGCCCGUGGCGCUGCGGAGGCCUGCGGGUGGGGAGGCGCAGUGGCGGCCGGGGCGACGGCCUAAGCACCACACUACUGCUGCGAGACUUCGGGGGAUCCCCACUCCCCUCCCAGGAUCCUUCCCACUCCCCUCCCAGGAUCCUUCCCACUCCCCUCCCAGGAUCCUUCCCACUCCCCUCCCAGGAUCCUUCCCACUCCCCUCCCAGGAUCCUUCCCACUCCCGAGACUGCUUCUUCUGUCCCCUUGAUUCCACGCGCCUCAGAGACCCUCCCUCUGCCGUCCCGCGAAGAGCGCGCCCCUCCCCUUGCAAGGUGGGCUUCACAUGCGCUCCCGCCGCACGCACCCUCCUCUGCCCCCGGGUUUCCUGCCGGGCCCUCAUGGUUUGGGGCUGCCCAUGCAUUGCGGGAUCCUGAGCAGCACAGCGCCGCCGCCUCUGCCCACCAGGUGCCGGCAGCCCCUGUGGAAGGCAGAAUGCCCCUCUCACAGAUACUUGUGUACAAAUCCCCAGAACCUUGGAGCAGGCUGGGUUAACUGGGUUAAGUGGCAGGUUAGGAAGGGGGCUAACCAGUUCACCCGAAAGCAGGCAGGCGACCCUGGAUCUUCCGGGUGGGCCCAGCGUAGCCACAAGUGUGUUUCAGGGUGCAGGAGGGAGGCAAUGGAGAGGUGGGCAGAGAAGGGCAGGGCAGAGAGGGGCUCGGCCGCUCCGAAGGAGGCCACAACUACCAGCCAAGGAAUGCAGGUGGCUUCUUGAGGCUAGAAAAAGGGAAACAGGGUCUCCCCUGGCACCUCCAGAAGGAACAGAACUCUGCCAACCCCUCAUUCUGAGCCCAAAGAUACCCAUUUUGAACUUCUACAAAACUUAGCUAAUACAUUUGUGUUGUUUUAAAACACUCAAAGCCAGGCACCAGUGGAACACUCAUGUAACCCCAGCUACUCAGGAGGCCGAGGCAAGAGGAUUGCUUGGGUCAAGGAGUUCAAGACCAGCCUGAGCAACAUACCAAGACUGUUUCUCUAUAAAAACUUACAAAAAAAAAAAUAAAGGCCGGGUGUGGUGGGAUGCACCUGCAGUCCCAGCUACCCAGGAGGCCAAAGUCGGGGGAUCACUUGAGUCCAAUAGUUCAAGACCAGCCUGGGCAACAUAGCAAGCCUGCCCCCCGCUCCGCCCCAACCACCAAAAAAAGAAAAAAGAAAAAGAAACCAAACCUACUGAAUUUGUGGCAAUUUUUAUGGCAGCUACAGAAAACUAGUACACAAAUCCCAGUUGUGACAACCUAAGCGGUCUCCAG